GACGAACGCUGGCGGCGUGCUUAACACAUGCAAGUCGAACGGAAAGGCCCCCAUCUUGGUGGGGGUGCUCGAGUGGCGAACGGGUGAGUAACACGUGGGUGAUCUGCCCUGUACUUCGGGAUAAGCUUGGGAAACUGGGUCUAAUACCGGAUAGGACCAUGGUUUAGUGUCUCAUGGUGGAAAGAUUAUUGUUUUGGUGCAGGAUGAGCUCGCGGCCUAUCAGCUUGUUGGUGGGGUAAUGGCCUACCAAGGCGUCGACGGGUAGCCGGCCUGAGAGGGUGGACGGCCACAUUGGGACUGAGAUACGGCCCAGACUCCUACGGGAGGCAGCAGUGGGGAAUAGUGCACAAUGGGCGCAAGCCUGAUGCAGCGACGCCGCGUGGGGGAUGACGGCCUUCGGGUGGUAAACUCCUUUCGUUAGGGACGAAGCCACGCUUGUUGGGUGUGGUGACGGUACCUUUGUUAAGAAGCACCGGCUAACUACGUG
rnacentral:rRNA from 1 species